rnacentral:tRNA from 1 species
ACGUCGGUAGCACAGUGAUCAGUACAGUAUGCCGUAAACGGGAAAACGCGGGUUCAAUUCCCGUCCGAUGUC